ensembl:lncRNA
UCUACAUAUCAUAACGUAGCCCACAGUACAUAUCGUAGGCUACAUAACAAACCGUAGCCCACAGUACAUAUCGUAGGCUACAUAACAAACCGUAGCCUACAGUACAUAACAUACCAUAGCCUACAGUACAUAACAUACCGUAGCCUUACAGUACAUAUCGUAGCCUACAGUACAUAUCGUAGUCUACAGUACAUAUCAUAGCCUACAUAACAUACCGUAGCCUACAGUACAUAGCAUACCGUAGCCUACAGUACAUGGUGUAUAGUAUCAACAUCAAGGACCAGGUACUCUUGGUAAAGUAAAGCAAUGGUUUCAACAUGGGACUUGUACCCUUAUAGUAUGUCAACUGUUUCUUCAUGGAUAGACAGGAUCCUGCAUUCAUGACAACGGGGGGGAACUAGAAUCAGAAUCAUAAAACACGGGAUGAGAUGUUAAAAACUGUCCAUUGUGCCAAUAGAUGGUAUGCACUCACAUGAGAUUUGCCGUGAUGUUGACAGAGUGGCAUGGGAGGUUUAUUUCUUAGACUGGGUUAAGAUGUACAUUUUGGGACACAUCCUCAGUAGUGUGCCUUCGAAUCAGUGGGUGUUUCGGCCUUUAAUCACUAAACACACUCAUCAAAGGUGGCCGGCUAAAGGGUGAUCAAGCCGUAGCUUGUGUCCCAUGCCCAAUUAAGAUGUCCUACAUUUCCCAUUAAAAUGAAUGUAAGUUAUUUGCAAAGAGCUUCCAAUUGGUUAAUUCGGAUCAUUUUCAAGUGAGAAACUCAGGUAUCAUCUUUCAAAUAAAAUCAUCAAUACAAAUUGUAUUGGUCACAUACACAUGAUUAGCAGAUUUUAAUGCGAGUGUAGCGAAAUGCUUGUGCUUCUAGUUCCGACAGCGCAGUAAUAUCUAACAAGUAAUCUAACAAUUCCACAACAACUACCUAAUACACACAAGGUUAAAGGAAUGAAUAAGAAUAUGUACAUAUAAAUAUAUGGAUGAGCGAUGACUGAGCGGCACAGGCAAGAUGCAGUAUAUGGUAUAAAAUACAGUAUAUACAUACACUGUCGUUCAAAAGUUUGAGGUCACUUAAAAAUGUUCUUGUUUUUGAAAGAAAAGCAUAUUUUUUGGACCAUUAAAAUAACAUCAAAUUGAUCAGAAAUAGAGUGUACACAUUGUUAGUGUUGUAAAUGACUAUUGUAGCUGGAAAUGGCUGAUUUUGAAUGGAAUAUCUACAUAGGCGUUCAGAGGCCCAUUAUCAGCAACCAUCACUCCUGUGUUCCAAUGGCACAUUGUGUUAGCUAAUCCAAGUUGAUCAUUUUAAAAAGGCUAAUUGAUCAUUAGAAAACCCUUUUGCAAUUAUGUUAGCUCAGCUGACAACUGUUGUCCUGAUUAAAGAAGCAACAAAACUGACCUUCUUUAGACUAGUUGAGUAUCUGGAGCAUCAGCAUUUGUGGGUUUGAUUACCGGCUCAAAAUGGCCAGGAACAAAGACCUUUCUUCUGAAACUCGUCAGUCUAUUCUUGUUCUGAGAAAUGAAGGCUAUUCCAUGCCAGAAAUUGCCAAGAAACUGAAAAUCUCGUACAACGCUGUGUACUACUCUCUUCACAGAACAGAGCAAACUAGCCCUAACUAUAAUUAGAAAGAGGAGUGGGAGGCCCCGGUGCACAACUGAGCAAGAGGACAAGUACAUUAGACUGUCUAGUUUGAGAAACAGACGCCUCACAAGUCCUCAAAUGUUAGCUUCAUUAAAUAGUACCCGCAAAACACCCGUCUCAACGUCAACAGUGAAGAGGCGACUCCGGGAUGCUGGCCUUCUAGGCAGAGUUCCUCUGUCCAGUGUCUGUGUUCUUUUGUCCAUCUUAAUCUUAAUAUUUUUUAUUGUCCAGUCUGAGAUGUGGCUUUAUCUUUGCAACUCUGUCUAGAAGGCCAGCAUCCCAGAGUCACCUCUUCACUGUUGACGUUGAGACUGGUGUUUUGCAGGGACUAUUUAAUGAAGCUACCAGUUGGUGAGUAAUAUACUCGGAAGCGGUGGGUGAGGUGCACGUCUUCGAAGUCUGACCAGGAGGCCACUCUGUCUACCUCUUCUGCGGCGACGUUGUUUUGGGUCGGCCUCUGGGAUUAGAUCCAACGUCCUGGGUGGUGCGAACAAUGGAUCCACUUCGGGAAAGUCGUAUUCCGAGAUACGAGUUUCCAAGUCGAAAAUGUCAGAGUUUCCUAGUUCCGACAUGUCAUGAAUGCAGCAAAAUAAUUACAAUUUUUAACUCAAACUAUAUUGGAUUCUGCUGGGACUCAGAGUUCAUUACAGUAUACUAUUUAAAGACAGAUCCAGUCAAAACACAUGAUUUAUGACACAUUAAAAGUCUAUGUAAUACAGUUUAAAUUCAGAUAGCUCUGUUGUUUAUCUACGCAUAGUCCCUUUACCCCUACCUAUAUGUACAAAUGACCUCGGGCUAACCUGUAACCCCGCACAUUGACUCGGUACCAGUAACCACUGUAUAUUGUCUCGUUGUUGUUAUUUUAUUGUGUUACUUUUUCUUAUUAUUUACUUUAGUUUAUUUGGAAAAUAUUUUCUUAACUUGCUUGAACUGCAUUGUUGGUUAAGGGCUUGUAAAGUCAGCAUUUCACUGUGAGAUCUACACCUGUUGUAUUCAGUAUUUCACUGUGAGAUCUACACCUGUUGUAUUCAGUAUUUCACUGUGAGAUCUACACCUGUUGUAUUCAGUAUUUCACUGUAAGGUCUACUACACCUGUUGUAUUCAGCAUUUCGCUGUCAGGUCUACUACACCUGUUGUAUUCAGCAUUUCACGAUAAGGUCUACUACAC